AUUGAACGCUGGCGGCAUGCUUUACACAUGCAAGUCGAACGGUAACAGGCCGCAAGGUGCUGACGAGUGGCGAACGGGUGAGUAAUGCAUCGGAACGUGCCCAGUCGUGGGGGAUAACGCAGCGAAAGCUGCGCUAAUACCGCAUACGAUCUAUGGAUGAAAGCGGGGGACCGUAAGGCCUCGCGCGAUUGGAGCGGCCGAUGUCAGAUUAGGCAGUUGGUGGGGUAAAGGCCCACCAAGCCAACGAUCUGUAGCUGGUCUGAGAGGACGACCAGCAAAACUGGACUGAGACACGGCCCAGAAUCCUACGGGAGGCAGCAGUGGGGGAUUUUGGACAAGGGGCGCACGCCUGAGCCAGAAAUGCCGCGUGCAGGAAGAAGGCCUUCGGGUUGUAAACUGCUUUUGUACGGAACGAAACGGUCCUGGUUAAUACCCGGGGCUAAUGACGGUACCGUAAGAAUAAGCACCGGCUAACUACGUGCCAGCAGCCGCCGUAAAAC
rnacentral:rRNA from 1 species